rnacentral:rRNA from 1 species
UACGUAGGAUGCAAGCGUUGUCCGGAUUUAUUGGGCGUAAAGAGCGUGUAGGCGGCUUGGUAGGUCAGCUGUGAAAACUCGAGGCUCAACCUCGAGAUGUCGGUUGAAACCACCUGGCUAGAGUCCGGAAGAGGAGAAUGGAAUUCCCGGUGUAGCGGUGAAAUGCGCAGAUAUCGGGGAAGAACACCCGUGGCGAAGGCGGCAUCCUGGACCAUUACUGACGCUGAGGCGCGAAAGCUAGGGGGAGCAAACGGG